UCACCAUCACUGCCGCACUACCAGCCAGGAAGGAGCCUCUCCCUUACUAGGAUCCCGAUAUCUCGCGAGCAGCCGACACCUCGCCGUAUUUCCUCGCCUUUCCCGACUAUCUGUCUCCCCGGGCCAUUCAGCCGACGCCAGUCCCGGAGCAUCGGCGCGCGGAUAUAUAUCAAGCAGUUAUUGCGGAUGGUACGAGCACUCAUAAUUUCCCCGAGUUUGUUUUGCUUCUGCGCUCGGGGAGGCGAGCAGCAAACAAAGCAGCCGAAAGAUACCCGGAGAAUAUGUGAAACGGCCAAUGAGAGACAAUUGAUGCGUGGGAGAGCAGAAGAGGAAUGCCAGUGAGAGCAUGGAGAGACACGGGGGAAGUAGCCUGCCCUGCAUGUAGGUGUCCAGGAUCGAUGGAAAUAAUUCAACAAACAGUUAGCAAGUUGUAUUACAAAUCAUUUCCGAGGCCGGAUCUUGGAAUUUAAUUAUAACAAAAGGAUGCUGCAUCAUUCGUUCGACUUCAAUGUCUGCAACCACAAAUAUUUACAACCGCCAUAGAAGAGAAAUCCUCAGUUCUUAACAGCAUCCACGAUGAAAUUGAAACAUCUAUUUACCCAAUCAAUUCAAUAUUGAUUCUCAAUUGACUUUUAAUCGACUUUAAUGACAUUGUAUUAAUAUAUAUUCAAUAUAUACAACAUCGAGAAAGCGUGAAAAAAUAUCCGACAAAUAUAAUCGAUAUAUCGUGUUUUUAUACAUUAUAAUAAAUUAAAAUAUUAUUAUUAAAUCAUUAUUAACAAAUAAGCGUUGGAUGGAAUGUUUAAGUCA